AUUGCCUCAGUAACGGCGAGUGAAGCGGCAAGAGCUCAAAUUUGAAAGCUGGCCCCUUCGGGGUCCGCAUUGUAAUUUGCAGAGGAUGCUUCGGGAGCGGCCCCCAUCUAAGUGCCCUGGAACGGGCCGUCAUAGAGGGUGAGAAUCCCGUCUGGGAUGGGGUGCCCGCGCCCGUGUGAAGCUCCUUCGACGAGUCGAGUUGUUUGGGAAUGCAGCUCUAAAUGGGUGGUAAAUUUCAUCUAAAGCUAAAUACUGGCCGGAGACCGAUAGCGCACAAGUAGAGUGAUCGAAAGAUGAAAAGCACUUUGAAAAGAGAGUUAAACAGCACGUGAAAUUGUUGAAAGGGAAGCGCUUGCGACCAGACUCGCUCGCGGGGUUCAGCCGGCCUUCGGGCCGGUGUACUUCCCCGCGGGCGGGCCAGCGUCGGUUUGGGCGGCCGGUCAAAGGCCCUCGGAAUGUAACGCCCCCCGGGGCGUCUUAUAGCCGAGGGUGCCAUGCGGCCAGCCCGGACCGAGGAACGCGCUUCGGCUCGGACGCUGGCAUAAUGGUCGUAAGCGACCCGUCUUGAAACACGGACCAAGGAGUCUAACAUCUACGCGAGUGUUCGGGUGUCAAACCCGUGCGCGCAGUGAAAGCGAACGGAGGUGGGAACCCCUCGGGGUGCACCAUCGACCGAUCCUGAUGUCUUCGGAUGGAUUUGAGUAAGAGCGUAGCUGUUGGGACCCGAAAGAUGGUGAACUAUGCCUGAAUAGGGCGAAGCCAGAGGAAACUCUGGUGGAGGCUCGCAGCGGUUCUGACGUGCAAAUCGAUCGUCAAAUUUGGGUAUAGGGGCGAAAGACUAAUCGAACCAUCUAGUAGCUGGUUCCUGCCGAAGUU
rnacentral:rRNA from 2 species